rnacentral:rRNA from 1 species
UACGGAGGGUGCAAGCGUUAUCCGGAUUCACUGGGUUUAAAGGGUGCGUAGGUGGGUAAGUAAGUCAGUGGUGAAAUCUCCGGGCUUAACCCGGAAACUGCCAUUGAUACUAUUUGUCUUGAAUACUGUGGAGGUCAGCGGAAUAUGUCAUGUAGCGGUGAAAUGCUUAGAUAUGACAUAGAACACCAAUUGCGAAGGCAGCUGGCUACACAAAUAUUGACACUGAGGCACGAAAGCGUGGGGGAUCAAACAGG